CUGAAACUAAGUAGGAACUUUACUAGAAUAUGUCAGCUCUAUCUUACAAAACUGUACAGUAGGCAUCUAUGAAAGAACAGACAUUAAUAUCUGACCCAACCAAAUAUCUUGCCCUUGAGAAAAACGGAACAUCAAGUCAAGUCGCUCAUUGAGUUGAGUUAAAUGCAUCUUCCCAUUUCCUGCUUUUUCUUAUAAAGUUUACUCAUUUUUUCAGAUUACGUUUACAAAUCUCCCAAAGAAUAUUUAUUUCAUUUUCCCACUUUUUCUUUGCCAAGAAGAUUCUCCUAGAAAUGGUAAGUGCUUGGCUGGCUUCGAUUGUCAUGUUUCCCAGUCCCAGAAGAAAUUGCCUUGUGAAAUAUUUGGUGAAUAAUGACCGCCCGCGUAGAAAGUAGGGAUUCAAUUAUGUUGGUGGGUUUAGAUUCUUAAUGAAAAUUGUUAUCUCUACUAACAACCGUAGCUUAACAAAUCAACAUAUAACUAAUUAAUAUAUUUUUUUAUUUGGUUAAAGUAGGUGUGCUAAUCUUAUUAAUUUACCUAAUCAUCAAAAGUGUGGCUUUUGUCAAUAGAUUACUGUGAUGAAACAAAAAGAUGCUGCUAUCUUCUUUAAUGGGGAGGAUGUUUUGUUAUGCUCAGGCGCGGUUGUUGUGCGUGGCUAGGAAUUUUGUAUUUUACGUGUGCACGGAAGUCGCACGGAUGACGCACGAACGACAGAUUUUUUCAAUAUUGUAAUAAAUCGUGUGUGCGACGGAUUUGUGCGUUGGCUUGGAUUGUAAUGUCAUAUUUAUUUAGAAAUGCCUGCCUCUCAUCAUUUUCCCUUUUUACUUUCAUUAUUUUCCUUUCCUUACAAGAUUUCUCAUCCAAUAUUUGAACUAUUGCUUGCGUUUGGAGACUCACUCUUCGACCCAGGCAACAAUCAGUGGAAAGCACAGGAACAUAUUGGCCUAAUGGUAUGAGUAUGAACAACAAAUCCACUGGCAGAAUGUCGGAUGGCCUUCUGCAGCUGGGUCCUGAUUUUAUUGUGGAUCCACCAUAUAUACUGUUAAGCAAAAGUGGUAACAAUAAUUUUAUUAAAUUACAAAAUUUGUACAAAACACACCCACACACUUUACAAUAUUCCUUACUCACAACUCACAGACUCUACACUUGACUACACUCACACACACCCCACACACUUUGAUUUUGCAUUUAUUUUUCUACACUCUCACUAGCAGCUCAGGCACACACCUUAUUUUUUCUGUGCACUUACUGCCUCUUCAUUUUGUACAUACUCACGGCAACCACUUACCUAUAUUUAUACUAGUUUAUGUCGGUUGUAUAACCGACUUUAACCUUUCUUUAAUUCUCUGGACUGUUGGCUGCAUUAGUUGGUCUGGGAGCAUCUUGAAUGGCGCCUUACUUGCUUCUUGAUGCUUGAGAGGCGGUUCCAUUUUAAGCAAAAUUCUGGAAUGUUGUGGAGAGAAAGAGAAAGGCGUCGCUCUCUUUAACACGUACGAUGGUUGAAGUCCCUUUCAAGCCAAUGAGGCUUUCUUGUUAAAAACACUAGAGAUCCCACAGAUAGUCCAACCACCCUUCCACAUCCAUAACCCAUCAGCACAGCCUUCCAACCAAAAUCACUGUUAGAGUUUGCAUCACAUUCUGAAAAUGGCCACGAAGGUUCACUAGUACUACAUUUAUUCAUUAAUGGUGGUCCACAUAAUCUUGGAUUUUCUGAGUAUAAAUUAUUUAAGAACGUAUCAAAUUGGAUCCACAAGUUGGUUUUGUCACAAAUUCAGAACAGCAAGAAAUGUCAAAUUUGUUUACUGUCAUGGAAUUCUUCCGCCAAGCUUGUUUGAAGAAAGGUUUAAGGAUUCGAGCCCUCCUAAAUUGCCCAACAAUGGAGGAAUUGUACUUGUAAGACUGUUCUGAGAAAAGUUGAGGAGAUAAUGUGCUCGAAGCUUUCCAAUUACUGCUGGAAUUGUGCCAUGGAAGCAGUCGUUUGAGAAAUCAAUGAUUCUUAACUUGGAGAAAGAAGAAUUGUCUUCAGGCUUAGUCACAACUAAAGCUCUAUCUCUGAGUUCUACUCAUUCGAGUUGAAUGUGGAUUCAAGUCCAGCUCAAAUCCACCUCCAGCUAACAGAGCAAAAGAAAACAACCAAGAAAAAUUAUUGUCCCUUAAAACAGAAUCAUAUAAGCAAAGUUGUAUGGCACACAAAUAACCUGUGAAAUAUCCAAUAAUUCAAUUUGUUUUAAAAGGAAUUCAACACCGACCAAAAUUUCAAUUUCCAUUUCCAUUUCAAAUCAUUUGAACACUAAGCAUUCAAGUAAAAGAAUCCAACCAAUCAAAUUCCAAGCUCUGUAUAUUUCAUUUGCUCCCAAAAGUUCUGAGGCAGCAGACUUCCAAAAAUCAAAGGCCAUUGUUCAGAACCCAAAUCUCGAAUCCGCCAAAUCAACAGUUCCAACCCUUUCCUCCUCCGGCAAAACUGACCAAUUGGGACUCUGGACAGCUCUCAACCACUUGAAAUCAACUACAUUGCCCCAAUUUCCGGUCUCCUCACUCAACCCUGCCACCUCCAAAUCCUUCGGAAUCCCUUCAUAUUUCAAACAAUAUGGCCCAAAACGAACCCCAUUACAAUCCUCAGUGAUCGGCCUACUCUUCACUCUCAAAUAAAAAUCACAGCUUUUCGCAAAAUGGAUCCUAAUCUGAUGCGAAGCCAAAACCAACAAACAAUCCUCAACUUCUUCAAUCAAAAUCGAACCCGUCACAGGACCCACAUAAACUUUACAACCCUUUAAUUUAUUAAUGAAUAAAGCGUUCAGACAACCCACUAAUCUCACCUCACACGAGUCCAAACCCGAUAACGUAAACUCCCCGAUUUCAGAACCCUUAAUAUCUCGGAACAAUAUCUCGUUUUGUUUAUCUCGAAAACCCGGGGAUUCACGAACCGGGAAAUCAGAUUUUGUUUUUGUUUCAUUUGGGGCUGAAACGACGUCAUUUUCUGGGAUCUGGGUUUGGGUUUUAGUGGUUUUGUUUUUGAAGGCGAAUUUCUUUUUGGGGAUCAACUUGGCCGAUAAAUUAUCAAGAUUUCGUUUCAAAUCGGAGUUGAUUUUAAGAGAUGAUCGGACCUCGUAGGAGGGGAGGGAGUAGGAGUUUUCGGCGACAAGUUUUUCCAGAGCGGAGAUGGCGGCGGAGAUGUCGGGGAGACGGGAAGGGUCAUCGGUGGUUUGGAGUUGAGAGGUGAUGGAGUUUUUAGAGUCGUUGAAGCGGGAGAGGAAAGUGGAGGUGGAUGAGUCAGGUGAAUCAAGUUUGCGAGUUUCUAAACGAGUUUAGUGACUAUUUGAGAGACGCUCCAGCAUUAAUUGAUGUUUCUUUUGUAAAGUUUGGUCUGGGAUUUGGUGGGUUUUCGGGUUCUCUUCGUCUUCCAUUCCAGAAAUGGCGUUCUACAGAGCUCUUUCGUUAUCUGUACGUGGAUCCGAGCGGACGCGCCCGAGUCGGCCGGUUGAAAACAUGCAACUCAGAAAAGGUUAAAAAAAAAAAAAGAAAAAUGUUAUAAUUAUAAUUCAAACGCAUUAUUAUUAUUAUUAUUAUUAUUAUUAUUAUUUUA